ACCCAGGUACAUGCUCUUCACCUGGAAUUGAACCCACACCAUUUUAGGCUGAUGCUCCAACCCCUGAGCGAAACUGGCCAGAGGUCUUUAUUAAUAUAUUUUAACUUCUAUUCUGUUGUAUAAUUUCAGGUUUUUCUUGUCUCAUACUGCUUUGAUUAAUGAUGGUUUAUUUUUAUGGCAUAGUAAAUUUAAUUAGUAUGUUAUUUAUAUUAAUAUAAUGUUUUCAGCUUACCUCUCCCAAGACUGCUAUCAAUGUCUAAUUGAAUAUUUAAGUGCAUUAAAGUUUUCUCUUUUUACCUAAUCAAAUUAACACAUGUAUGUAUAAUAUUUUGAACUUUUGGUUUUUAAAGAGCUAAAAUUUGAACAAUCAAAUAGAAAGUUGCUUUUUCAUGUAUGUAUGAGAAAUCACCAGAUUUCUUUUAAUGGAUCAGUAGCCUCAUUUAGCAUAUAUCAUUUAAAAGGAAUGUUGUUAAUGCCUAGAUCGUAUUUUAUCAUUCACAUAGGUAUUAUACUAGUUAAUUUAAAAAUGAUAAUUGUCUUUUAAAAGUCUUUGUAAAACCACCAGACAGUUUUUAAAGUGGUUUUAUACUUAACCAGAAAUUAAGAGGAUGGGUUUUGAAUUAGACUGCUUGACCAACUUCACUUUGUGAGUUUUGAUGCAAUGCUUGUAUUUCCUAUGUAAAAAGGAGAAUAAUAUUAGAACCUAUUUUAUAAGGUGGUUAUGAAGAUUAAAUUUAAAAAAUACAUAGUGAGGCAAUUAUUGCCAAUAGUUGUAAUAGAUGUUAAUGCUUCUACAUUUAUAAUUAUAUAUAUAAAAUUGUGGCUUUUUUUCUGUUUAAAAAUGUUAUAGAAUAUGUGAAAAAACAAAGCACAAAGAAAAAUCUAAACUACCCAUAAUUUCAUAACCUCAAAGAACCAUUUAUAUGACUAUAAAAACACAUAUGAAAGUGUGUAUCUAUAUCUUUUUUUGAUAGCAUACUAAACAUUGUUUUUAAUCUUUUAAAAAUUAUUUAAUAUUGUUUUCAAAUCUACAUACUUAUUCUUUUCCAACUACUGUGUGAUAAAAGCAGUUAAAAUUCAAAAAAUGAAGUGGUUUUAUAAAUUUUAUAUUCCUCAUAUAUGUAUCUGCAUACCCUGUGACCCAGAGUUUCCCUGCUAAGUAAGUGCCCUAAGAAAUUCAUCCCGAUGUUUACCAAAAGACAUUCCAGAAAGCUCAUUAACAGCACUAUUCAAAAUAAAUAUUCUUUGUGUAAUUGUUCAAAUGCUAAAAAAGAAUAGGAAGGAAAAUCAACUUUUGGACUGUUGAAUGAUGUAUAUAGCAAUAAUAACAAACUACAACUGCACAGAAUAGUAUGGGUGAAUCUCAUAUACAUAAUGUUGAGUGAAAGAAGUCAGAUAAUCUAUCUCUAAUUUUAAAUGUUUAAAAACAGGAAAACUGUUAUUUAAUAGUCAGGAUAAUGGUUACUCUUGUGUUGUUAGUGUCUGGAAAGGGGCACAAUGAAAGCUUCUGGUAUGCUGGUAAUGAUUUCUUUCUUGAUGUUAGUGCUGGUUGCACUGGUUUGUUCACCUAAUAUUUUGAAGUAUUAGAUAUGUUUUUGCAUGUGUUAUACUUCAAUAAAAAGAAAAAAACUGUGCAAGAUAAAAUAUCAUGUAGUCUUUCAGAGUCUUGUUUUCAAAGAUUA